rnacentral:lncRNA from 1 species
CUGCCUCAGCCUCCUGAGUAGCUGGGAUUACAGGUGUGCACCACGCCUGGCCAAUUUUGUAUUUUCAGUAGAUACACCCACCCCCAGGCUCUGGGGACCAAGCCCUGCUCAAAUUGGGGGUGGUGCUGCCAGGGGCAGGGGCAGAGAGGGUGGGAGCCUCCCUUCCAAGUAUUUUAGGGUUUCUCCAUGUUGGUCAGGCUGGUCUCGAACUCCUGACCUCAGGUGAUCCACCCACCUCAGCCUCCCAAAGUGCUGGGAUUACAGGCAUGAGCCACCACGCCUGGCCCCUUGUUUUCCAACCUCCUGCCUAUUCUUCUCCUCCGUGAAGCCCUCCUGAUUUGAAACCCUUGGCUCCCCUUUUCUUGGUUUCUUCCUGCACUCAACAAGCCCCUCCAGCAAUUCCUAAAUCAGGUCCUGGUGUGACUCUCUUCUCUCUCAUCGGACUAGGGGAACAGGCCUGCGUCUCCUCCCUCUGAACUGCCAACUACUAACCCCCACCAUACCCAUUGUCUCCACACCACCUCCCACGCCCCCUGAAGACUCAGACCCAAAACAGAUCUGUAAAGCAUGUGCGUGUGACCAUGGGAACCCGGGAGUCCUGUCUCCUCUUCAUCCACAGAAAUUUCCACAGAAGCCCCACGGAUUCCCAUUUCAGAUGACAAGCUGAGGCCUACGAUGAUUUAGGCUGAGGAUACCAUCUGCCUGAGAGAACCCUCCUCUUGGAGUCUUGCUCCUCAAAAUGUGACUUCAGAGCCAGCAGCAUUGGCAUCCCUGGAAGCGUGGUACCAAUGCAUUCUUGGACCUCAACUCAGACCUAUUCAAUCCAACUCUCCAGUUUAGCAAGAUCCCCAGGUGAUUUUUAUGUACAUUAAAGUUUGAAAGCAAUACUCUAAAGAACCAGAAAUGCCAGACCAGGGUCCAACAGGGAAACUGAAUGCCUAAGACAUUCAUUCAUUCAUUUACCCAUUCAAUAAAUACUUAAUAAGCA